AAUGGACGCAAGUCUGAACCAGCCAUGCCGCGUGAAGGAUGAAGGCCUUCUGGGUUGUAAACUUCUUUUAUUGGGGAAGAAAAUUAUGGUUUCUACUAUAACCGACGGUACCCAAGGAAUCAGCACCGGCUAACUCCGUGCCAGCAGCCGCGGUAAUACGGAGGGUGCAAGCGUUAUCCGGAUUCACUGGGUUUAAAGGGUGUGUAGGCGGGCUGUUAAGUCAGUGGUGAAAUCUCCGGGCUCAACCUGGAAACUGCCAUUGAUACUAAUAGUCUUGAAUACCGUUGAGGUAGGCGGCAUAUAUCAUGUAGCUGUGAAAUGCAUAGAUAUGAUGUAGAACACCGAUUGCGAAGGCAGCUUACUAAACGGUCAUUGACGCUGGGGCACGAAAGCGUGGGGAUCAAA
rnacentral:rRNA from 1 species